rnacentral:rRNA from 1 species
AAUAUUGCACAAUGGGCGCAAGCCUGAUGCAGCCAUGCCGCGUGUAUGAAGUAAGGCCUUCGGGUUGUAAAGUACUUUCAGCAGUGAGGAAGGUGGGUAUGUUAAUAGCAUACUCAUUUGACGUUAGCUGCAGAAGAAGCACCGGCUAACUCCGUGCCAGCAGCCGCGGUAAUACGGAGGGUGCGAGCGUUAAUCGGAAUUACUGGGCGUAAAGCGCAUGCAGGUGGUUUGUUAAGUCAGAUGUGAAAGCCCGGGGCUCAACCUCGGAAUUGCAUUUGAAACUGGCAAACUAGAGUACUGUAGAGGGGGUAGAAUUUCAGGUGUAGCGGUGAAAUGCGUAGAGAUCUGAAGGAAUACCGGUGGCGAAGGCGGCCCCCUGGACAGAUACUGACACUCAGAUGCGAAAGCGUGGGGAGCAAACAGGAUUAGAUACCCUGGUAG